GCGAAAGUGGCGAAAUUGGCAGACGCGCCAGACUUAGGAUCUGGUGCCCGCAAGGGCUUGGGGGUUCGAGUCCCCCCUUUCGCA
rnacentral:tRNA from 1 species